GGAUCAGUAUGUCGGUCGUGCUUCGGUACGUACUGUCAUUACUGGUUUCUCCCUUCUGAAGAACCAUGAUGUAAUUAAUCUGGUAUCUUGGGAAAUCAGGACUGUUACUUUGAAAAAAUUAGAGUGUUUAAAGUAGGCAUACGCUUGAAUACAUUAGCAUGGAAUAAUGAAAUAGGACGUUUGAUUCUAUUUUGUUGGUUUCUAGGAUCGACGUA
rnacentral:rRNA from 1 species